rnacentral:rRNA from 1 species
CGCUACUACCGAUUGAAUGGCUCAGUGAGGCGUUCGGACUGGCCCAGGGAGGUCGGCAACGACCACCCAGGGCCGGAAAGUUCGUCAAACUUGGUCAUUUAGAGGAAGUAAAAGUCGUAACAAGGUCUCCGUAGGUGAACCUGCGGAGGGAUCAUU